rnacentral:rRNA from 1 species
CCUACGGGAGGCAGCAGUGGGGAAUAUUGCACAAUGGGGGGAACCCUGUUGCAGCAACGCCGCGUGGGUGAAGAAGUACUUCGGUAUGUAAAGCCCUGUCAGCAGGGAAGAAAAGGACGGUACCUGACCAAGAAGCCCCGGUGAACUACGUCCCAGCAGCCGAGGUAAUACGUAGGGGGCAAGCGUUAGCCGGAUUUACUGGGUGUAAAGGGAGCGUAGACGGCAAGGCAAGUCUGGAGUGAAAGCCCGUGGCUCAACCACGGGACUGCUUUGGAAACUGUGUUGCUGGAGUGCAGGAGGGGUAAGCGGAAUUCCUAGUGUAGCGGUGAAAUGCGUAGAUAUUAGGAGGAACACCGGUGGCGAAGGCGGCUUACUGGACUGUAACUGACGUUGAGGCUCGAAGGCGUGGGGAGCAAACAGGAUUAGAUACCCGGGUAGUC